rnacentral:rRNA from 1 species
GGAUUAGGCAUGCAAGUCGAGCGAGAAAGCCCCUUCGGGGGUUAGUAAAGCGGCGAAAGGGUGAGUAACACAUGGACAACUUACCCUCGAGACGGGGAUAACUGCCCUAACGGGUAGCUAAUACCGGAUGGUGCCCGGAGGUCGCAUGGCCUCCAGGCUAAAGGUGGGUUUCCUGCCGCUCGGGGAGAGGUUCAUGUCCUAUUAGCUUGUUGGUGGGGUAACGGCCCACCAAGGCAAUGAUGGGUAGCCGGACUGAGAGGUUGGCCGGUCACACUGGGACUGAGACACUGCCCAGACUCCUACGGGAGGCUGCAGUCGAGAAUCUUCCGCAAUGGAUGAAAGUCUGACGGAGCGACGCCGCGUGGGGGAUGAAGGCCCUUUGGGUUGUAAACCUCUGUCAGGGGUUAGGAAAUGCGAUGCGGUUAAUACCCGUGUCGUUUGACAAAUGCCCCAGAGGAAGCACUGGCUAACUACGUGCCAGCAGCCGCGGUAAUACGUAGAGUGCUAACGUUGUUCGGAAUUACUGGGCAUAAAGAGCUCGUAGGCGGCAUAGCGGGUCGGUUGUGAAAGCCCCUGGCUCAACCAGGGAAUUGCAGCCGAAACUACUAUGCUUGAGUGUGAGAGGGGAGAGUGGAACUUCCAGUGGAGCGGUGAAAUGCGUAGAUAUUGGAAGGAACGCCAGCGGCGAAAGCGACUCUCUGGCUCAUUACUGACGCUGAGGAGCGAAAGCUAGGGUAGCGAACGGGAUUAGAUACCCCGGUAGUCCUAGCCGUAAACGAUGGGCACUAAGUAGAGGGGUUUU